rnacentral:rRNA from 1 species
CAGUCGCCGCGGUAAUACGAAGGUCCCGAGCGUUGUUCGGAAUCACUGGGCGUAAAGGGAGCGUAGGCGGCGUGGUAAGUCAGAUGCGAAAUCCCGGGGCUCAACCUCGAAAUUGCGUCGGAUACUGCAUUGCUAGAGGAUUGUAGGGGAGAGUGGAAUUCAUGGUGUAGCAGUGAAAUGCGUAGAUAUCAUGAGGAAGACCAGUUGCGAAGGCGACUCUCUGGGCAAUUCCUGACACUGAGGCACGAAGGCGUGGGGAGCAAACAGGAUUAGAUACCCCUGUAGUCCCUGUCUCUUAUAC